rnacentral:lncRNA from 1 species
GUCAGGCUGCUUGCAGAUAUGGACCCUUUCCUCUGCUGCCUUAUUGCCACUUACAUUAAAUACAGUAUAUGAUAAGAGUUUAUUAAUACUGUAGUCAACAUCCAUGCAAGCAUAUACAAGGGCCCCCAUGCAGAACAAGGUUGAAAACAAAGGCUGUAAGAAGAAGGAGAUGAUUGGGGCAGAAGUUAAGAAGGAAAUCAUUGAGAAGCAUGAAUGAGGUAUGCAAGUGGCCGAAAUUGCAAGAUUUUGUAAGCAGUCUGUGUCGAUCAUUUGCACAAUAUUAAAGAAGAAAGAAGAAAUUAGGAGCCUAGAUGCAAUAAAAGGAGUCAUGAGAAUCUGAAACCAAUGGCCACUUGUUCUGAAAGAUGUAGAAAAGUUGCUUCUGGUGUGGAUAAGUGAGAAGCAUGUAGCAGGUGAUACUGUGACUGAGAACUUUGUCUGCAAGAAGGCAAAGGCCUUGUACACUGACCUCAUAAGUAAACCUCCGGGUACAUCAACAGAAAACGAAGAAGGUUUCAAGGUGAACAGGGGUCUCCGUCACACCAGCCAUGAAGGUUUUCAAAGAGAUCCUGAGGACGGGAAUUGCACACAGCCCCACAGCUGGAGGAAACCAUCAGAAUGCGGGGGACAGUACUUCUGCGGAGUAAGUUUCUUGAUUCCGGAACUGUGGAAUAGACCAAAAAACCAAAGCAUCUGGCAGGAUAUGUGGCAGCUGG